CUUGACCGAGCCGAGCAGCAGCGGGUGUUCCUGUUCGCGGUCCUGGCCGUAGGUGGCGAGGAGUGCCUGGGCCUC
rfam:Streptomyces sp. 769, complete genome.